rnacentral:lncRNA from 1 species
UUUUAAUUCAAUUCUUUUUUUGGGCGCCACUGAAUAUUCAUUUGUUGCCUUCCUAGCAAUUUUUUAUUUUUCAUUUGUUUUGUUUGCAGAUAAGUUAAAAAAAAACACAAGUUAAAAUACAAAUUACAAAACAUUGCCUUCAAAGGACUUAACAAAAACAACAAAUAACAUUAUCAUAAAACACUCCAAGCCAAAAAAAUAAAUCUUCAUUUGUACAUCAAGAACAAUGCGCUUAUUGUCAUCAAAACCUGAAAUAAAAAAUAUAGAAUUAUAACAUGGUAAUUAAAUUAAAAGAUAUAAAAAUAAAAGUAUUAUUUAAAAACAACAACCAAACAUGUAUUAAAACAAAAAACAAAAAUGAAAGGAAUUAUAUAAAAUGCUUCUCAAUACAGUACAAUACAAACAACAACCAGUUCAUUAAUUCAUUGAAAAAGCACAGAAACUUCACUCCAACAAAACCCAUCAGUCUAAAUCUUACAGAAACAAACUAUAUAAAACAUAACCCAGAUCAUAAUUGAAUUAAGAAGCUUACAGUCCCUUCCAAACAUGGUAAACACGCCUAGCCAUUUAGGAGGUAGGUAGAUAAUCUUACUAAGGAGCAAAGCAGAGAGAGAUAAAGAGAUAGAGAGAGCAGGAGAAGAAUAUUUGAAACUUAUGGUUGGAGGUGAGUGUAUUGCUUUUGCAAUGUGUGCACAACAUCUAACAUUCAAAUCUGCAUGGAUUAUAAAUCUGUCAACCUCAUUAAUGUAAUGCAGCAUGUCAAUCCUUUGUCAUAUACAGGUUGGUGUAAACUGGUGGCAGGACAUGUCAGCACAAUUUUUCCACAAACAUGAUUAGAUUAGAUGAACCCAAAAUUAGCUUGUUUCAUAUACAUGUUGAUAUUGUCGCUAUUAUUUCUAAACUUACAUUUACUUGUAGCAAUGUUUUUAGUCAAAUAAAUAAACAUCAACAACCAUCCCUGAAACUUUUUGUCAAAUGGUCUGUUUUUUUUAGCAGGAUUGAGUGUAAAUUUAUCUUAAAGUGUUUUAUCAAUCCAUUUUUAUCCAAAAUAUAUUCUCAGGUUUGAAAUAAAAAUACAAGAUGCUGGUGUUUUCAUAACUUCAAAAGGCAUUCUUUUUAUGUAAGCUCAUUUUUAAGUAUUGUCUUUAGUAUCUUAUUUAUCCUUUUAUGUCUCAGAAUGCCAUUUUCUGCUUCAUUUGUUCCUUUUAACAUGUUAGAUGGACUCAAAUUAUUUCAGAUUAGAAGUGCUAUUGUAUUAUCAUGAGAGCCAUUUACUGCAAUGACAUUUUUCAUUUGUUUUUCACAUAAAAGUUGACUGGCUGUAGAACAUAACAUCCUACUUAAAACCUUUUGCCUUCAUUUAUAUACAAGUACAAAGUGCAUGGAGUUUUUACUGAAUGUGAUGUGUCAAAUGCAGGCACUCUCUUCCUAUGUGUUCAUAGCAGCCAAUGUCAUCAAAAUACAGAUAAUGAAUCUCUCAUUUCCUUAAUUAUCAACGAAAAAAAGCAUUCUAAGAUUAAAAAAAUUCAAAACAGCUAAAGUGAAAACUACAAAUGGUUAAUUAUCAAUGAAAAAAAAGCAUUAUGAGACAGCUAAAGUGAAAACUACAAAUGGUUACCUUAGAAAUGGAUUUUUAAGCAUUCAAAACAGCAACUAUGUCUCUGACCUCUGCAUUGAAAAGCAAAUAAGAUAAAUAUAAUAGAGGAUAAACUAAUUAAUUAAUUAAUUAAAAAGGAUAAAACAUAAUUAAAACUCAUGAGUGAAGACUAGAGAUGAGAAACUCACAAGUUGACAAACCUGAGAGAGAGAUCCCUAAUACGAGGAAGCGACUGGAAGGGAAGCAGAUGGGCUGAUGAUCUGCUGGAGUAGUUUUAAUCUCAUCUGUUAAUCGAACACUGUGUAUAGUGACAAAUUAAAAUUAAAACAGGAAUGAAUUAUUAUAAGAGUAAUUAUCAAGAAUUAUUAUAAAACAGAGAUGAACAUAGGGUCUUUGGAGACUGACCUUGUCAGGAGAGGGGCGAAGCAGCUCGACCAUAGAGGGAGGGGUCACUCGUACAAGUCACAACCCUCCCUUGGGUCGCCUUCUAAGAUCAAAAGCUGGAGAAUCCUAUGUAGUUCGUUCCCUUACGGCUUCCCUGCUGUAAAUAGUUGCCCAAGCCCUCUUUUUGCUACGAAAAAAAGGCAUUUUUUUCUUGAAUCACCAACACGAUUAGUCGUUGAUCUAUUGUUGAGACUUGAGAGGCUUGAUUGGUUUCAAAUUUCAGCUGAUGCUUGGAGUUGGCGUGUCUCUGGUUGUCUCAUGUUUGUGUUUGAGAGAAGGAGAGGGGGCGGCUGCGGUGCUAGGGUU